CUCUUGGUAACGGCUGUCGUAUCCGGUGUGCCUCGGAGCUACUUAACAGCUGAGUUUACCGUGGAAGUCUCCAGAAUACCAGCACCAGGUGGUAAACCGGUCUGGGUUCAAGUGUCCGGGUCGACGGGGGACCUUCUCGCCGGGUUUCGUCCGGGUUCGGGUUCGGGUUUGGUGUUGAGGGAGACGUCCUGUGGCUCUGUCCCCAAACAGUUUCCCAUCUGACGUCAAAUGAGCAGUCAGUCCACAACCUUAAAAACAUCCUGGCAACUGAGGCCUCACCACAGGCUUUGGGACAUGUAACCCCCGGCAACACAUGGCAUGUCAAGGGUCUGGGGACAUCUACAUGGCAACGUCACUGGAUACCAGGGAUUUCCUCAGAGGCAGUUCACUGCUGCGGUUUCCUCCACAGGGCCGGGGACAGGCACUCUGUGGUCGCCAGGUGUGGAGCAUCACUGUGGUGCUGCUGUGCGAUUGGCCAGAGCAAAGUUCUGCUGCAGCACCACCAGAGAGCUGCGGAGCUGUGAGGAGAAGAACACUUAAAGCAUGCAACACCUACUUUUGUUUUUAAAAACGUGUUACAAGACAGCUAUGAAUUUACGUGAUGGACUCCUGCUGGUUGUAAAACAAAAAUAACAGCUGCAUGUCUCAGCUUUCUCUCAAGGAGAAUUAAUGUAACUUACUUUACUCUUUCAACCUCAAGUCAUUAUUCAAACCACAGUAUACACAAACUAUUUUUAUUUUGUGAAAUAUUUAUUUUGUGAAACACGCUAGCUAGAUGAGAAAAAUCGAUACCACUUUCAUGUUUGUCCAUUAAAUAUGAAGCUACAGUCAGCAGCCAUUUAGCUUAGUUUAGCACAAAGACUGGAAACAGUCAGCCUGGUUCUGUCCAACGGUAACAAAAUCCACCUACCAGCAUCUCUAAAGCUCACUAACUAACAAGUUAUAUCUCUUAUUGUUAAUCCAUACAAAAAGCUAAGUGUAAGUGUUUAGCAAGGGUUAUGUGCUGGACUAUUUCUUGGCUCUGAGUAGUUGCCAGGCAACCAACAAAGAUUCCAGGAAGUAACUGUUGCCAGCCAAGACCAGUAACUUCCUGGGAUAAAAAAAAAUAAAUAAAUAAAAGCAACAGGCGCAUAACCAACAGCAAAUAGUUUUUACACAUUGGUUUUUGUACGGAUUAAAUAAACAAGACAUAACAUGUUAAUUAGUGAACUUUAGGUAGAUUUUGUUACCUUUGAACAGAGGCAGGCUAGCUGUUUCCCCUCGUUUUCAGUCUAUAUGCUAAGCUAAGCUAGCUGGCAGUUGGCAGUAGUCUCAUAUUUAAGGGACAGAUUUAAGAGUGGUAUCGAUCUUCUCAUCUAACUCUCCGCCAGAGAGCAAAUAAGCAUAUUUCCCAAAUGUUUAACUAUUCCUAUUUCCCCAUUGUUCUUAAAAAAAUAAAUAAAUACUCCUUGUCUUUGAGUACAAAUAUAAUGAGCCACUCAAGCCAGGAGCACACUAAAAAGCAUUACCAUUUUGUCCAAAUUCCAGUCAGAAAAAUCUGAUUUGUUUGAUAUACAGUAAUUAUAACAGCCCCAACUGGUCUGAGACUCAUGCAGGAGGUGAAAGAUUUAUAUCCCAAGCAUGAACACACGACAAGAUAACGCGCCAAAAGUCCAUGAUGUACUGCACUAUUUUGUACAAAGCAAUGCAGAAUCACCACAAUCACAGCCAAACUGGAGCUACAAUCAGACUUUUCAUUUAUUUAGUGCCUUCCCAGCUUAAAGCAGCCUGUCCUACCUGUUCUAAAAGGUUGAUGGAGUCCUGCAGUACAGUUUUCAGCAGCUGCAUAUCCUCUGUGGUCCUAUAACCUGGUCCUUGUCUGGGACCAUAUUCAGGGGCCAAGCUGCCAAACAGAAAGAAGGCAAUUGUUCUUCAGUGCAAAAUACGAUUCACACAUUUGCUACAUAAAAACACAAAACAGGGGCAGAAACAAAAUGAAGGAAAUGUCAGAAGAGUGGAAUCUACAAGAGGAGCACUGAUGCAAGACUAUGUCUCUUACAUAACCACAUUUACUGAGGCUGACAGACGGACAGUUUCAAAAUUGUAAGUCAUUAGAAUAAGUGCUCUCUUGUAUGUGGGCUGCUUAAAUGCUUCAGACAAAAAAAAUAAAUACAUUUUAAAAAAGGUGGAGGAAGACUAACCCCACUCUCUCCACCCACACCAAGACUUCUGCUUUUUGAGUGAUCAGGGCAGCUAGUGAUAUAUUUAGUCUAUGGGAGACGACAAAUCAAAAAGGAAAGACCCAAAGACAUAUGCAUGUUACAAAGGAAUAGAAAGUUAUCGAACCUGGCCUCACUCCUCUCCCUCAGCCGAUGCUUUGUGCUCAGGUACAUGCGGUGGGCUACGUCCUCCAUGGCCCACAACUUGUAAAACAGACCCAGAUUCAUCACAGUCAGAAUCAGCAAACUGAAAGAGACAGAAAGCAAGAGUUUAAUCUGACCACUGGUGCGCACAGUGACAUAAGAGACAAAAAGUUGGAGAAACUAUGCCAGAAAUCACCACAUGACCUUUUGAUGUAAUGACUUUCUUUCCAAUUCAAGGCAGUUUGUCAUAUUGGAAAACACAAAAGACGUCCAUAUUCUGCAUCUGAUAUGUACUGCGAAUUCUCAGUAGUUUGAAAAUACAGGUAAAAUCUGCAUUCCUUAUACAUGAUACAAACCACAUUGUUUCACAAGUGUGUUUCCAGGUUGUUAACUUACAUCACACUCAUCCCAGCCACUAUGGUUGUGGUGUUCCAUCUGUACGGGCUGUUCAUUUCGAUGGGGACUGAAAUACAGUUGGACAGAUCAAAAAACAAAACCUGUAUUGCAGUCAAUUUAAAGAAAGUUUUUCUACUGGUUUGCAACAUUUUUCUGGUUAGAAGAUAUUUCAGCCUGAGAUAUAAAAUGCUGCUGUUUUGUAGGUGUGUC